AGUGAGCUGAGAUUGCACCACUGCACUCAAGCCUGGGCACAGAGCAAGACUCCAUCUCCAAAAACAAAAGCAAAAACUCUCUGAGUCCCAGCAACACCUUCUUUCAGUUCCUCGAACACCUCCUGUCUCUCCUCCAGGAGGUUUUUGUGUAAACUCUACUUGGAAUACCCUUGGCUACCUCUGCCCGCCCUCUGACUAACCCUUCUCAUCCCUCAAACCUCACACUUUGCCUGGAUCACUUCUACUGACCUCAGUUUAAAUGUCACAUCUUUGGGUCAGAUUUUCUUGUCCCAUGACCUCCUAGAACCCUUUUCCUCUUCAGCAUUUAUCACCCUAAUAAAUAAUAAGCUGGAGUUAAGAUAAUAAUGGCUAUGGAAUAUAUGUCUCCCCUACUAAACUGUAACCUCCAUUAUGAAAGGACCCUUUUGAUUUGGCUCAUUCCUAUACCCUGAGCACUCAGUGCAGGGCCUGGAAUACAGAAAUAAUGAAUGAAUGAAUAUGUCCAAGAUGUACUAAAAAAAAAAAAAAAAAAACGAGGGAGCUGCCAAUUCUGCCUGAAUGGGGGAAGGUGCAUGGUGGGGAAGGGGAGCUUCACAGGGCGUUUUCUGGAAGUGCCCAGGGUGAAACUGUGCCUGAAGGAAGCUCAGAUGUCAGUUUUUCAGAUUGUGCUCUCUGUAUAUCUAGGCACUCGUAGAUUCUUCUAGAACUUUAUGUAGUAUUUUGCAAAUAUAGUUAAAUAGAUUUGCGAAUUCAAUAAUUUAUAAAAACUUAAGCUUGUAUUCUUCUAAUGUUCUUCUGAAUCCAGUUAUUUUUCUUCUGCCUCCAAAUUAGACACUUCCCCCAUGCAUUAAUUCCAAGUACAGUCAAAGAUUAAGUAAGGAAAUGAGGCGCAUGAAAAAUUUCUAAUUUUUUUUGCUAAUAAUCUAAUGACUGUGACAUCUAAACACUGAAAACACCUUGAUUUGUGGAUAAUAAGGUUAUCUAGAAUUUUCAAGGGAUCAUGGACAAAUAACAAUAGGCAAUUUGAUCAAGUGGCCAUGUCAAACCAUUGGUGCAGAUACAGACUGAUUAAAGUGGAAAACAUUCUUUUUUUUCUUCCUAGCUUCCUGCUCUGCCAUUGCCUUGAUAAUGUGAGCCAAGGCCCAUUGGCCUCCACAGGACAAGCCCUAGGCUGUACUCUGGGCAUGCUUGAACCUGCCUGACCUGUCACUUCAAGGCCAGCCCUGAGCCUCUGAGAAUGGGCCUGGGAACCAUGAGAAAUUAUGUCUAUUUGCAGCAGGCAGGGCCUCCUUUGGUCUCCAGCAUAGCCCUUGCCCCAUCUGCUCUUUUCACUUUACAUGGGCUACUAGGCAAAGUGGCUUCCUCUUUGGGUUUUGUUACAUACUUUAACGAAGACUGUGCAUGCAGAUGGCCUGGCAUGUACUAGGUGCUCAGGAUGUUGCAGCUACUGAAUUAUUAUCAUUGAUUUCUUCUGCAUGUGACCUGGAUCCACAAGUCAAAUGCAAAAAUUUGUCUUAACUGAUGGUCCUCUCCUGUCUGCCUCCAGUACCCCCUCGUGAGGCUUGCAAGGGCAGGGACCAGAGGGCCCAGCACCAUGUCCUGCUCAUGCUCACUCCUGACUGCAAGGGAGGUAGGGUUGGGAGACGCUGUAACAGGAUAGGCUACAGCUGACUGGGAUGCAGACCGGGGGCCAGGUCCUUGGGAAAUUUGUUCUAAUCUUAGAAGGUAUGCCUUGGCUUCCUGCUGCAGCCUGAAGGACAAGUGUCCCAGACCUCAGGACACACACGCACACUCACACUGUCACUUGACUCCUGCCUGGGAGGCAGGAAUGGCCCCUAGUGAAGGGUACUUGUGUGGGCCUCCAGGUGGCUGUAACAUACCCCAGGACUCCAGGCAACCCUGGAAAGGUGGCUCCCUGGAGCCCAACCGCCCUUCAGACUUAGAGGAGCUCUCUGUGAAGUCAAUUGUAUUAUUGAAUUAACCAACAGUAGAGAGUCAGAGUAGUGCAUGACAGGGAGAUUCUGAACUUACCUUAGAGAGUAACAAAUCAUACAUUUACUUGCUGGCCUAGGUGAGUAAAUCCAUCUAAAUCACCCAUGCCAGCUAUGAAGAGACACUUCUUUCCCGCUCUUGCCCUUUGUGGAAAAAAAGAAGAAGAAGAAGAAGAAGAAGAAGAAGAAGAAGAAGACACUCAAGCUGUUCAGAGGCUGCCAGACUGACAAGGUUGAGUUUGAUCGGCACCUCUGCCCCUGCAUGCCUGCUGGUGGGAAAAGGAAGAAGACAAAAAUGGUUGUGUGUAACCCCCUGAGGCAUUGCUGCCUUCUGCCUCUUCAUCCCAGCACCCUCUCCAUCUCCUUUGCAGCCUUCGCUCACCCUCCCUGUCUUCAGGCUCUGCCAUCACCUUGUAAUUUGAGCCAAGAUUCACCCUUAGGUUUGUCUGACUCCACAAAUCCCAAGCAGGUGCUUCAGGGUCUGCCCUGGGCCCUCCACUCUGGCAACUCACCCUGUCUGAGCACUCCUCCAGUCCUACUCCUCCCCUCAGCUCCCCGUCUCUGUAAAUGACACUCAUCUCCACCCAGAAGCCAGAGCCAGAAAUCUGGGCAUCAUUUUGACUCCUCCCUGCCCCCACCUAUCAGUCCCCAAUUCUGGUCAGUCCUUCCUCCUAAAUUGCUUUUGAGUCCUAUCAAUAAUCUCCCCUCCACUAACCAUACCCCCAUCCAGGCCAUCAUCCUUUCUAGUUUUAAAGACUCCUGAAAUCAACAGAAUAUUGACUCCAACCCUGUGGAUCCAAGCCAUCCUUAAGAUCUCUAUUUAUUCUCAGAUGGACUUACCUGCUCAUGGUCACCACUGGGCCCAGUUUUCUGCCUCUGCUGAAUCUCUGUUCUUGAUUCUCCUAUAAGGAGGGAGCCUCAUCUGCUCUGCUCUGCUCUGAUGAAUCCCUAGAGCCUGGUCUAGGGUCUGGCAUGUUCUGGGCCUCAUUAAUAUCUACUAAGUAGUUCAUUCAACAAACUCCACAUCUUGAAGCUAUUCCUUUACUCCUCUAAAUGUGGACUACGCUCUUGAUUCUCACUCUACAGGUCUAAAAAGCACCCACAAAUAAAAAGGCUGCUGCACACAGUUCAACUUUUACUGAAGGUCUGAAGAUUGCAGGAAGAGGUCGUGCUGACACCACACAGCUAACAAUUCUAAAUCAAGCAUUUGAAAUUCUGAUCCUCACAGUCCUUUCAGCCAUCCCAUUGCCAGAGGUUCUUUCUUUCUUGCCACUUCACCCCAGAAGGGGUCAGCCCUUAUCCAUUUCUCAGCUCUUCUUGCUCCUGCUCUCCUCCACACUCACUCUUCCCAAAUGCGGCUCCCAGUUCCCUUGGCAGAUGCAGACCCCACAAGAAGCUCAGCCCAAUGAAAAGAUCUUCUGCCACCUUCUGCAGGAGGUGGCAUAGUUGCCAACUUGCUCAUUUUUUACCUUCCAUGACAGUGGCAGUGGCCUCUAGACUGGGCUCUCCACCCCUGAAGCCUACUCCUGACCCCCAGCCCACACAUUUCUUACCCUGCAACCAUAGGCAUCUUGCAAAAAUGAAUCUGUGGUUUUGCCUUUUGCUUAGAACCCUCCGGUGACCUCAGAUGGCCCUUAGGCCAGAGUCCCAACUUAGGCAGCCUUUCAUGCUCUGACCUCAUCUUGCACGCAUGCCUACAUGACAGAACUUGUCAUUCCCUGAGGCUUCCCCGGCCUUGAACUCCUCACCUGUGCAGCUCCCUCGUGAGAAUGACCAACUCUACUUACCCUUCAGGCUUGGCCAGUUUGUUACUUCCUCCUGGAAGUCUUAGCUAGCUCUCUCCACUGGAAUGUGAGCUCCAGUGAUAAGCAGUGACUUUCUCUUCUUCCCCACUAUGUUCUCAGAACUCAGAACACAUCGUGGGUGCUUGCAAAUACUUGACCCACUGACUGUAUUAGUUUCCUAUGGCUGCUGUAACAAAUGUCCAACUUAGCGGCUUGCACUGUAUGAACUUAUUAUCUUAGAGUUCUGGAAGUCAAAAGCUCAAGAUGGACUACAAUCAAGUUUUUAGCAGGGCUGCAUUUCUUCUGAAGGGUCUAAGGAAGAAACCAUUUUCUUGCCUUUUUCAGUUUCUAGAGGUUGCCUGCCUUUGCUGGUUUGUGGCUCCUUCCUCCAUCUUCAAAGACAGCAAUGGUGGGUAGAGUCUUUCUUGCCUCCCAUCACUCUGGCUCUCACUCUCCUGCCAUCCUCUUCCACUUUUAAGGGCCCAUGUGAUAAUAUGGGACCCACCAAGUAAUCCAGUCAGCUGAUUGGCAGCCUUAAUUCCGACUGUAAUCUUAAUUCCUAAUUGCCAUUUAAUCUAACAUAUUCACAGGUUCCAGGGAUUAGGAUAUGGACAUCUUUGAGGGCCAUUAUUCUGCUACCAUACUGACUGACCUUAUCAUACUUUACGUACUUGCUUUAUUGUCCCUGUUCCACAGUAGGCCAUAAACUCCAGAGUUAUAGACCGUACUCAUCCUGUCCUUCUCUGUGUAUGUCUCAUCCAGGGUGCUUUCAUUCAUUGUGUCUUUAGAGCCUCAUAACUAUCCCAUGAUAGUUGGGGUAGGUAAGGCAGGUGUUAUGAUCCCAUUUUACAGAUGAGGAGGCUGAGACUGCAAGAGCUCAUGUGAUCUGACACUCAGGAAAGAGACAGAUCCAAGAUGAUGCUCAGGACUAACCUUGCAUUCUUACCAGCAAGCCUCUGAGAGCUCCCUGCAUUAGGCAAUGGGAGAGCAUAUGAAAGAUAGCAAUAAGCAUAAUUGUAAGAAGAAGAGAAGAAGGAGAAGAAAAAGAGGAGGAAGAGGACAUGACAAAUUCCUUUUUAAUAGCACUGCCUUAAAAGAGUCACAGCAGAUUCCCUCUAUUUGCCCAAGGUUUUCAGAAUGGAUUGAAACGUAGAUUGAUACCUAUCUGCUUCCAGGUAAUCCUUCUAAAUAGCAAAUAAUAUAACUUUCCUCAUCAUCCCGGCUUAAGAAAUGAAGUCCACAUGUUGUAGCACAGCCUCAGUAUAACUGCUUUUACCAAGCACUUCCCACAUGCUUAGCGGGCACUUGAGGUAUGAGCCAGCACCGAAGAAGCUCACGGUGAGUGGUGGCUAUGACGGCUGCUAUCAUCUUAGAUACUCCUCAUCACCACACAAUGACACAGGGAUUGCCCACCUGAUUUUACAGAUGUUGAAACUGAGACUCAAGAAAUCAAGUGACUUGCCCAAGGUCACCUAUAUAGCUAAUAAGUUCUGGAGCCUGAAUUAUAACUUGUAUAUGUUUUACUCUGGACAAGCCACGUCUUUCAAUUUCUCUACCUUUCUUUUUGCUUAGACCAUAUCGAACUAAAGUUUCCCAUAGACACCAUGCUUUUCCAUGCUUUUGACACUUUACAUGUACCAGCUAGCCCCUGUGCCUACAACAUGCCUUCCUCCUUCUCCCCUCAUGCCCACCUUCUCUCCUGGCAAGCUGUUAUUUGUCCUUCAAGACUCUGCAUAAGCAUCACUUCCUCGUGAAGUGUUCCCUGAUUCACCUAAGCAGGUUAAGUACCCCUUCUCCUGAGCUUCCAUUGCAGUGUUAUGCAUGUCCCAAUUGCAGCAAUGGCCUGUUUUCAUUCUGAUAGUUUUAUUAUAAGUCUGCCUUUAACUAGAGUAGAAGCUCAUUGAGCUCUAGGACCAUGAAACUUCAUCUUUAUAUCCCCACAUCUGACCAGUGUCGGGCCCAUUAGGUGUUCAAUAAAUAUUCACUGAAUGAAUGAAUAAGUGAACAGCCAUGGACUGAGUGCCCCCUCAAGCCAGACCCUUCACAGGUACUUGACAUGAAACUCACUCUGUCUUCCUCACAGACAUGUAAGCCCUCCCAGUGGAGGGUUGGAAGAGACUUCUCAGAUGUGUCUGCAGCUGCAAGGCAUGCUGGGAGCAGGGAAGGGCUGAGCCUGGGGGUGGAGGGUGCUGAGCACGAGGGAAGGGAAGUCACGAACAUGGAAGCAAUGCCAAUUUCCCUCCAUUGGCCCCUCCUACCCACAAUCCAACAGACUGGCUGUAAGAACUUGACAAUUUUUAUAACAGUUUUAUUGAGAUAUAAUUUACAUACAAGUCACCUAUUUAAAGUGUACAAUGAAAUACUUUUUGGUAUAUUCACAGACUGUGCAACCACCGCCACAGUCAAUUUUAGAACAUUUUCAUCACCGAGAAAGAAGAAAGCUUGUAGGCUUUAGUUAUCACCCCACCUCCUGUCUUCCCAUCUCCUCCAGGCAACUAUUAAUCUACUUUCUUUCUCUCUGGAUUUGCCUAUUCUGAACAUUUCAUAACAAUGGAAUCACAUAAUAUGUGGUCUUUUGUGAUGGGCUUCUUUCACUUAGCAUAAUGUUUUCAAGGUUCAUCACAUUUACUAUAUAUUAGAGCUUCAUUCAUUUUUAUAGGUGAAAAAUAUUCCACUGUGUGGCUGUGUCACAUUUUGUUUCUCCAUUUGUCAGUGAGUGGACAUUGUAUUUAGUCUGUUCUCACACUGCUUAUAAAGACAUAUCCGGCCAGGCACGGUGGCUCACGCCUGUAAUCCCAGCACUUUGGGAGGCUGAGGUGGGUGAACCUCACAAGGUCAGGAGAUCAAAACCAUCCUGGCUAACCAGUGAAAC